CCUACGGGAGGCAGCAGUGGGGAAUAUUGGACAAUGGGCGAAAGCCUGAUCCAGCCAUGCCGCGUGUGUGAAGAAGGCCUCCGGGUUGUAAAGCACUUUCAGUGGGGAAGAAAGCCUUGGGGCUAAUACCCUCGAGGAAGGACAUCACCCACAGAAGAAGCACCGGCUAACUCCGUGCCAGCAGCCGCGGUAAUACGGAGGGUGCGAGCGUUAAUCGGAAUUACUGGGCGUAAAGCGCGCGUAGGCGGUCUGAUAAGCCGGUUGUGAAAGCCCCGGGCUCAACCUGGGAACGGCAUCCGGAACUGUCAGGCUAGAGUGCAGGAGAGGAAGGUAGAAUUCCCGGUGUAGCGGUGAAAUGCGUAGAGAUCGGGAGGAAUACCAGUGGCGAAGGCGGCCUUCUGGACUGACACUGACGCUGAGGUGCGAAAGCGUGGGUAGCAAACAGGAUUAGAUACCCGAGUAGUC
rnacentral:rRNA from 1 species